GAUCAUGGCUCAGAUUGAACGCUGGCGGCAUGCUUUACACAUGCAAGUCGAACGGCAGCGGGGGCUUCGGCCUGCCGGCGAGUGGCGAACGGGUGAGUAAUGCAUCGGAACGUCGCCCAGUCAGUGGGGGAUAACUACGCGAAAGCGUAGCUAAUACCGCAUACGCCCUGAGGGGGAAAGCGGGGGAUCGCAAGACCUCGCGUGAUUGGAGCGGCCGAUGUCGGAUUAGCUAGUUGGUGGGGUAAAGGCCUACCAAGGCGACGAUCCGUAGCGGGUCUGAGAGGAUGAUCCGCCACACUGGGACUGAGACACGGCCCAGACUCCUACGGGAGGCAGCAGUGGGGAAUUUUGGACAAUGGGGGCAACCCUGAUCCAGCCAUGCCGCGUGAGUGAAGAAGGCCUUCGGGUUGUAAAGCUCUUUCAGACGGAAAGAAAUCGGGCGGGUGAAUAUCCUGCCUGGAUGACGGUACUGUCAGAAGAAGCACCGGCUAACUACGUG
rnacentral:rRNA from 1 species